AUUGAACGCUGGCGGCAGGCUUAACACAUGCAAGUCGAGCGAUGAAGGUACUGCUUGCAGUACUGGAUUAGCGGCGGACGGGUGCGUAAUACUUAGGAAUCUGCCCAGUAGUGGGGGACAACACGGGGAAACUCGUGCUAAUACCGCAUACGCCCUACGGGGGAAAGGAGGCUUUUAGCUCUCGCUAUUGGAUGAGCCUAAGCAAGAUUAGCUAGUUGGUGGGGUAAAGGCCUACCAAGGCGACGAUCUUUAGCUGGUCUGAGAGGAUGAUCAGCCACACUGGGACUGAGACACGGCCCAGACUCCUACGGGAGGCAGCAGUGGGGAAUAUUGGACAAUGGGGGAAACCCUGAUCCAGCCAUGCCGCGUGUGUGAAGAAGGCCUUUUGGUUGUAAAGCACUUUAAGCAGGGAGGAAAGCUGAUGAGUUAAUACCUCAUUAGUGUGACGUUACCUGCAGAAUAAGCACCGGCUAACUCUGUGCCAGCAGCCGCGGUAAUACAGAGGGUGCGAGCGUUAAUCGGAAUUACUGGGCGUAAAGCGCGCGUAGGCGGUUUGGUCAGUCAGAUGUGAAAGCCCCGGGCUCAACCUGGGAACUGCAUCUGAUACUGCCAGACUAGAGUAUAGGAGAGGAAAGUAGAAUUCCAGGUGUAGCGGUGAAAUGCGUAGAGAUCUGGAGGAAUACCGAUGGCGAAGGCAGCUUUCUGGCCUAAUACUGACGCUGAGGUGCGAAAGCGUGGGUAGCAAACGGG
rnacentral:rRNA from 1 species